AUUGAACGCUGGCGGCAUGCUUUACACAUGCAAGUCGAACGGUAACAGGCCUUCGGAUGCUGACGAGUGGCGAACGGGUGAGUAAUGCAUCGGAACGUGCCCAGAGGUGGGGGAUAACGCAGCGAAAGCUGUGCUAAUCCCGAUGGUAAUCUGGGGUUGAAGGGGGGGGCCAAAGAGGCAUGGUUUGGCCUGGGCCCUCUGGGCGGCCGAUGUCAGAUUAGGUAGUUGGUGGGGUAAAGGCCUACCAAGCCGACGAUCUGUAGCUGGUCUGAGAGGACGACCAGCCACACUGGGACUGAGACACGGCCCAGACUCCUACGGGAGGCAGCAGUGGGGAAUUUUGGACAAUGGGCGCAAGCCUGAUCCAGCAAUGCCGCGUGCGGGAAGAAGGCCUUCGGGUUGUAAACCGCUUUUGUACGGAACGAAAAGGCUCUGGCUAAUACCUGGGGCUGAUGACGGUACCGUAAGAAUAAGCACCGGCUAACUACGUG
rnacentral:rRNA from 1 species